rnacentral:rRNA from 1 species
UACGGGGGGGGCAAGCGUUGUUCGGAAUUACUGGGCGUAAAGGGCUCGUAGGCGGCCAACUAAGUCGGACGUGAAAUCCCCAGGCUCAACCUGGGAACUGCGUCUGAUACUGGAUGGCUUGAAUCCGGGAGAGGGAUGUAGAAUUCCAGGUGUAGCGGUGAAAUGCGUAGAUAUCUGGAGGAACACCGGUGGCGAAGGCGGCAUCCUGGACCGACACUGACGCUGAGGAGCGAAAGCCAGGGGAGCAAACGGG